CCUACGGGUGGCAGCAGUGGGGAAUAUUGCACAAUGGGGGGAACCCUGAUGCAGCGACGCCGCGUGGGUGAAGGAGUAUUUCGGUAUGUAAAGCCCUAUCAGCAGGGAAGAACAAUGACGGUACCUGACUAAGAAGCACCGGCUAAAUACGUGCCAGCAGCCGCGGUAAUACGUAUGGUGCACGCGUUAUCCGGAUUUACUGGGGGUAAAGGGAGCGCAGGCGGCGCGUUAAGCCUGAUGCGAAAGGCUGGGGCCAAACCGGGGGACUGCAUUGGAAAUUGGCGCGCUGGAGUGCAGGAGGGGUAGGCGGAAUGCAUGGUGUAGCGGUGAAAUGCGUAGAGAUUAGGAGGAACACCGGUGGCGAAGGCGGCCUACUGGACGGUGACUGACGCUGAGGCUCGAAAGCGUGGGGAGCAAACAGGAUUAGAUACCCUGGUAGUC
rnacentral:rRNA from 1 species